rnacentral:rRNA from 1 species
AUUGAACGCUGGCGGCAUGCCUUACACAUGCCAGUCGAACGGCAGCACGGACUUCGGUCUGGUGGCGAGUGGCGAACGGGUGAGUAAUGUAUCGGAACGUACCUUUCAGUGGGGGAUAACGUAGCGAAAGUUACGCUAAUACCGCAUAUUCUGUGAGCAGGAAAGCAGGGGAUCGAAAGACCUUGCGCUGAUUGAGCGGCCGAUAUCAGAUUAGCUAGUUGGUGGGGUAAAGGCCUACCAAGGCGACGAUCUGUAGCGGGUCUGAGAGGAUGAUCCGCCACACUGGAACUGAGACACGGUCCAGACUCCUACGGGAGGCAGCAGUGGGGAAUUUUGGACAAUGGGGGCAACCCUGAUCCAGCCAUGCCGCGUGAGUGAAGAAGGCCUUCGGGUUGUAAAGCUCUUUCGGCCGGGAAGAAAUCGCAUAGGCUAAUACCCUGUGUGGAUGACGGUACCGGAAGAAGAAGCACCGGCUAACUACGUG